CUACGUGCCAGCAGCCGCGGUAAUACGUAGGGUGCGAGCGUUAAUCGGAAUUACUGGGCGUAAAGCGGGCGCAGACGGUUACUUAAGCAGGAUGUGAAAUCCCCGGGCUCAACCUGGGAACUGCGUUCUGAACUGGGUGACUAGAGUGUGUCAGAGGGAGGUAGAAUUCCACGUGUAGCAGUGAAAUGCGUAGAGAUGUGGAGGAAUACCGAUGGCGAAGGCAGCCUCCUGGGAUAACACUGACGUUCAUGCCCGAAAGCGUGGGUAGCAAACAGGAUUAGAUACCCUGGUAGUCCACGCCCUAAACGAUGUCGAUUAGCUGUUGGGCAGCAUGACUGCUUAGUAGCGAAGCUAACGCGUGAAAUCGACCGCCUGGGGAGUACGGUCGCAAGAUUAAAACUCAAAGGAAUUGACGGGGACCCGCACAAGCGGUGGAUGAUGUGGAUUAAUUCGAAGCAACGCGAAGAACCUUACCAAGUCUUGACAUGCCGUUGACAUAUCCGUAACGGGGUAUUUCCUUCGGGACAACGGACACA
rnacentral:rRNA from 1 species